rnacentral:lncRNA from 7 species
AUUAAUAUUCAUUUUUGCUCAACGCUUGUUAGUACCAAGGCAGUCCUUGAGCUACAGGACUCCAGAGUGAUUUACAUAGGCAUCAGUUACUCAAUCUCUUUCUGAGGGCGCUCAAGCACAAUGAAAAAAAGUAUUUGGUUGAAGCUGAUUUAAAAUGCACUACUGACAUGGCCAACAGAACAAACUCAUCUGAGUACUUCUGGUCUUAUGAAUAUUAUUGGGAUUACAUAGAUCCAAUUCCGGUAGAUGGAAGGAAGUUGAAAGUUAAUAAAUAUUCUAUUGUCAUAGCCUUUUGGGUUGGACUUGCUGCCUUUGUGAUGUUUCUUUUCCUUAUUUUGCUCUACAUGUCCCGCUCUGGAUCAAAUCCAGUAAAACAGGUGGUCGUAAGGAACCGGGUAGAAGAAAGCAGUUCUAACAGUGAGCAGCCUCACGGUGACAAUCUCAGCAGUCCAUUCCCAGAUCCGGUUGCUCCCGGAACACCCAGCUGCCUUCCAGAUCACAGUGGCAUUCAUGGAAGUAUUUCAGCCUGAAUUAAAACCAGAAGAGGUGAAACAGAAGCAGCAGGGCAGUCCACCUGGCUGUGGAAACAAUUAGUACAUUAGACUGCAGCUGAAUUAGUUCAGGAAAAGAACAGCGAAGACCAAACCUGACAAAUCCUGGGUGCCUAAAAUGAAGAACUACCUGCCGUAUUUGAGCAGCAUUGCUGGAGUUGCCUGAUCAGGAGAACAUUUUAGAUUGUGAUGAUGAUGACUGCAAAAUAUCUCUCAGUAAAGAUUCACUCUUCUCUCAGUUACGUCAUGUGAAGCAUUUGCUGCCUGUUGAGUAAUUCUCACUAACAGGCACUUGGCUGAGAGUAGACCUACUCCUCCAGCAGAAAGCAUGUACCAGUUACUCCUCAUGUUCUCUGAAGCACACUGAGUAUUUUCAGAGGUACCUCUGCAGAAGCAAUUUUCCCUGAGUUUUCUUGCUGUGAAGGAAAGCAGCAUCACAUAGAUUGGGCAGCAUAAACAAUAAUGUUUAGACAUUGUGAGAGCUGCAGUGACACAUCUAUUUCUAUCUUUGUCCUCAGAUCACAAUCUCAUCAGCAGCAUCUUAGUGACAUCUCCAUUUGGUCAUCCUCUCAAAAGUAAGCAACAAUGGCAAGUAUAGCAUCAGCAAUAAAGCUUUGCCUUUGGAAGGGUUACAACUUGCUUCACUGAUUUAAAGCUCAGCAAUUCCUUCAGGGAUAGAAUUUUAUUCUAUUUUUUUGCAAAAGGAAAGUAAAUAUUUGGUUUACUUACAAAUCAUUAACACUGCUUUGCCAGAACAGCCUUUAAAAAAGCUACUGGCAACACUAAAUAUCUCAAGCGAGCGUGUCUUACUGAAUAAACUCAUUAGCUUUACCCACUGUCCAGAAAUAGUUUUGCCACAAAUAGCCAAUCACCUUUUGCUUCCAUUUUGAAAUGGUAAGUGGAGAAGAAAUGUGAAGACUGAACAGAUUUGAAAAGGUACCUGUGAGUUACUCCGACUUUAGAAGAAGUGUGUUUAUCGUGUUUUAUACCAAAGGAAAAUGCUGGCAAAACCACAAAAGCAAUAACAUAUUUCUGCAUAAGCUGCUUGCUUUCAGCUGGGGCUGAAAAAUGCUCUAACAGAAUUUAGAGCCCUCUGUGAGGGCCACAGAAGCUUUUCCAUGAGGUGGAGAGGACAAGUUUAGCAGUGUUGGAGCAGAGGAGGAAGGGUCACUCACACUCCCAACCCUUCAGCUCUCUCCACCUUUCCUUGGCCCUGGAGUGCCAAGAAAGCCGGGCAGAACCAGAUGGAGGUCCAAGAGAGUGUGAGAAACCCGUAGAGCUACAUUAACUGUGUGACCAGGAUUGCAGAGUCAGGGAGGCAGUGAUAAUUGGAGUAGAAAAAGGACCCCAUAACUAAUUGCUUGUCUGAGGAUAACGCAGAAUUCAUUCGAAACCUGAAGAAAAAAAAUAGCAAUUCCACCUCACCGAGGAGGCAGCAGAAACUCCUGCAGUGAACCACUGGCAGAGCAGCUCUAUCCUGCGUAUGGGGGAUGUGGGUAUGUUGGGUUGUGUUAACAAAGCCUUAAGCCCAAGAGACAGAUUAAACCACAAAGUAUGUAUUUGUAGUUGUACUGUUUUUUAAAACUCCAUUUUCAUAAAUCUCUG